CCUACGGGAGGCAGCAGUGAGGAAUAUUGGGCAAUGGGCGCAAGCCUGAACCAUCAAAGUAGCGUGAAGGAUGAAGGCCCUCCGGUUUGUAAACUUCUUUUAUAGAGAAAUAGAGAGAGGCACGUGUGCCUGUUUGAGUCUCCUUUAUGAAUACGCAACGCCUAGCUCCUAGACAGCAGCCGCGUGAAUACGGCGGAUCCGAGCGUUAUCCGGAUGUUGUGGGUUUAAAGGGAGCGUAGAUGGGAUUGUAAGUCAGAUGUGAAAGUUUGCGGAUCAACCGUAGUAGUGAAAUUGAUACUGGAAGUCUUGAGUACAGUUGAGGUAGGCGGAAUUCGUAGUGUAGCGGUGAAAUGCUUAGAUAUCAGGAAGAACUCCGAUUGCGAAGGCAGCUUACUAAACAGCCACUGACGUUGAUGCUCGAAAGUGUGGGUAGCAAACAGGAUUAGAUACCCGUGUAGUC
rnacentral:rRNA from 1 species